rnacentral:tRNA from 1 species
UCAUGGGUAGCCUAGUCGACAUGGCAUCUUCCCGGUAAGCGGAACACUGUGGGUUCGAUUCCCAUCCCUGGAA